CUUGUCAAAAGGGUUCACAUUACCACCGGCAAGUGAAUGAAGAUAUCUAACAGUACCUGCACAAGAGAUCGUCAGAUAAAAGCGUGCCCCAGGCGUUCCAAUAUUUCAACACUUAGGUCACUCAAACUUUCGAAUAAGAUUUCCAGAUUUCAAUCUCAUAAGCAUGCAUCGAAAGGGAUCUCUAUGUUUCAAAAAUGCAAAUAUUCUUAUCAAAAUAACGGAUGUUUUCGUAAUCAAAACGGUAAUGACACAAAAACAAAAUUUAUUUGACUGAACACACACUUUAUUGACUGAAACAAAAGGUGGCUCAAAACUGAGCGACGCACAGGAAGCAAACCCUGGAAAGAGGUGAUUGCAUACAAAAAGGAAAAAUCUAUCCUAAUGGCAAUGUGAAACCGUGAUCUCAUCGGGUUCCAACUCGGUCACACCUCAUAUGUCCUCAAGACUUUCCGCACUUUCUGUUUGCUGAACAAGACGCUUCCGAUCGAUCUCUGUCGGAGAUUAUCCAAAUGUAUCUUCCAAUGUUUCAAACGAUCAUGCUGGACGCAGUUGUUCGUUCAAUCCCUCUUUUGCCUGGACCGCCCUUUCGGGUUUCAGUCCACCGGGAUACCCUUUUUUGCCCAAGUCGCCCUUGCGGGGUUUUCAACUUGCCAGGUGUACAAAUUCUUUUCAUUUUAUAUCCCUAAUUUUUG
rnacentral:lncRNA from 1 species